UACAGAGGGUGCGAGCGUUAAUCGGAAUUACUGGGCGUAAAGAGCUCGUAGGCGGUUUGGUAAGUCGGGGUGUGAAAGCUCCGGGCUCAACUCGGAGAGGUCACUCGAUACUGCCAUGACUGGAGUCCGGUAGGGGAGCGUGGAAUUCCUGGUGUAGCGGUGAAAUGCGCAGAUAUCAGGAGGAACACCAGCGGCGAAGGCGGCGCUCUGGGCUGGAACUGGACGCUGAGGAGCGAAAGCGUGGGGAGCGAACAGGAAUUAG
rnacentral:rRNA from 1 species